rnacentral:lncRNA from 1 species
CUCUAUGGUGAAGGAGGAGGAAACAAAUCACCUGAUUUUUACCACAACAGGGAACUGCCUGAUGGGGUCUGGGAAAAGGAAACCCAGGUUUUCCUUGUGAAUGUGCUUUUAAUGUUCACGGGCUUGUUGCAGUGCUGCCAACAGUGUUAAAAAUAACAGAGCAAGACUGACUUUGAUGACAGAAAAGCAACGUUUUCAUUGUAAAAGUAGAUUUCUGGUUCUGGAGAGAUCAGUUUAAGAAGAGGGAUGAAGAAGAUAAACAGAACCUGCAUUAAAUUUUGGGAGCUGGUCAGGACCAAAUGUAUUGAACUCUACCCAUCAAAGAUACCAGGUAAACACCAGCAUCAAUCACAGAUGAAGCCCAGAGUGAGAAGGACUGCAGGUGAGAUGUCACUCUGAGGUGUCCUCACAAUGGUCCUAUGCUCUUUCUCCAGUUCAUCUCCAGAUCAUGAUGGAAGCCAGUUUGGGUGAGGAGAUAUCUGGAAAAUAAUAAAGAAUUGGCACCAGGCUCA